UAGCUAGUUGGUGAGGUAAAGGCUUACCAAGGCGACGAUCUGUAGCGGGUCUGAGAGGAUGAUCCGCCACACUGGAACUGAGACACGGUCCAGACUCCUACGGGAGGCAGCAGUGGGGAAUUUUGGACAAUGGGGGCAACCCUGAUCCAGCCAUGCCGCGUGAGUGAAGAAGGCCUUCGGGUUGUAAAGCUCUUUCGGCCGGGAAGAAAUCGCAUGGGCCAAUACCCUGUGUGGAUGACGGUACUGGAAUAAGAAGCACCGGCUAACUACGUGCCAGCAGCCGCGGUAAUACGUAGGGCGCGAGCGUUAAUCGGAAUUACUGGGCGUAAAGCGUGCGCAGGCGGUUUUGUAAGACAGGCGUGAAAUCCCCGGGCUUAACCUGGGAACUGCGUUUGUGACUGCAAGGCUAGAGUACGGCAGAGGGGGGUGGAAUUCCACGUGUAGCAGUGAAAUGCGUAGAGAUGUGGAGGAACACCAAUGGCGAAGGCAGCCCCCUGGGUCGAUACUGACGCUCAUGCACGAAAGCGUGGGUAGCAAACAGGAUUAGAUACCCUGGUAGUCCACGCCCUAAACUAUGUCAACUAGGUGUUGGGUGGGUAAAACCAUUUAGUACCGUAGCUAACGCGUGAAGUUGACCGCCUGGGGAGUACGGCCGCAAGGUUAAAACUCAAAGGAAUUGACGGGGACCCGCACAAGCGGUGGAUGAUGUGGAUUAAUUCGAUGCAACGCGAAAAACCUUACCUACCCUUGACAUGCCAGGAACUUGCCAGAGAUGGCUUGGUGCCCGAAAGGGAGCCUGGACACAGGUGCUGCAUGGCUGUCGUCAGCUCGUGUCGUGAGAUGUUGGGUUAAGUCCCGCAACGAGCGCAACCCUUGUCGUUAAUUGCCAUCAUUUAGUUGGGCACUUUAACGAGACUGCCGGUGACAAACCGGAGGAAGGUGGGGAUGACGUCAAGUCCUCAUGGCCCUUAUGGGUAGGGCUUCACACGUCAUACAAUGGUCGGUACAAAGGGUUGCCAAGCCGCGAGGCGGAGCCAAUCCCAGAAAGCCGAUCGUAGUCCGGAUUGCAGGCUGCAACUCGCCUGCAUGAAGUCGGAAUCGCUAGUAAUCGUGGAUCAGCAUGUCACGGUGAAUACGUUCCCGGGUCUUGUACACACCGCCCGUCACACCAUGGGAGCGGGUUCCGCCAGAAGUAGGUAGCCUAACCGCAAGGGGGGCGCUUACCACGGCGGGGUUCGUGACUGGGGUGAAGUCGGAACAAGGUAGCCGUAGGGGAACCUGCGGCUG
rnacentral:rRNA from 1 species